GACGAACGCUGGCGGCGUGCUUAACACAUGCAAGUCGAACGGUGAAGCGCCUUCCUUUUUGGUGGGUGUGGAUGAGUGGCGAACGGGUGAGUAACACGUGAGUAACCUGCCCCCUUCUUCUGGAUAACCGCAUGAAAGGGUGGCUAAUACGGGGUAUUCUGGGUCUGUCGCAUGAUGGGUCUGGGAAAGAUAUUGUUUCGGUGGGGGAUGGGCUCGCGGCCUAUCAGCUUGUUGGUGGGGUGAUGGCCUACCAAGGCGGUGACGGGUAGCCGGCCUGAGAGGGUGGACGGUCACACUGGGACUGAGACACGGCCCAGACUCCUACGGGAGGCAGCAGUGGGGAAUAUUGCACAAUGGGCGCAAGCCUGAUGCAGCGACGCCGCGUGAGGGAUGGAGGCCUUCGGGUUGUGAACCUCUUUCGCCAGUGAAGCAGGCCUGCCUCGUUUGUGGGUGGGUUGACGGUAGCUGGAUAAGAAGCGCCGGCUAACUACGUG
rnacentral:rRNA from 1 species